rnacentral:SRP_RNA from 1 species
GCCAGGCAAGGUGGCGUGGACCUAUAAUCCCAGCUACUCGGGAGGCUGAAGUUGGGAGGACUGCUUGAGCCCAGGAGUUCUGGGCUGUAGUGCACUAUGCCGAUUGGCUGUCUGCACUAAGUGUAGCGUCAGUAUGGUGACCUCCCAGGAGUGGGACCACCAGGUUGCCUAAGGAGGGGUGAACCGACCCAGGUUGGAAACGGAGCAGGUCAAAACUCCCAUGCUGAUCAGUAGUGGGAUUGCGCCUGUGAAUAGCCACUGCACUCCAGCCUGGGCAAUGUAGUGAGACUCCGUCUCAU